GAGUUUGAUCGUGGCUCAGGACGAACGCUGGCGGCGUGCCUAAUACAUGCAAGUCGAGCGGAUCUUCAUUAGCUUGCUUUUGAAGAUCAGCGGCGGACGGGUGAGUAACACGUGGGCAACCUGCCUGUAAGACUGGGAUAACUUCGGGAAACCGGAGCUAAUACCGGAUGAUCCUUUUCCUCUCAUGAGGAAAAGCUGAAAGACGGUUUCGGCUGUCACUUACAGAUGGGCCCGCGGCGCAUUAGCUAGUUGGUGAGGUAACGGCUCACCAAGGCGACGAUGCGUAGCCGACCUGAGAGGGUGAUCGGCCACACUGGGACUGAGACACGGCCCAGACUCCUACGGGAGGCAGCAGUAGGGAAUCUUCCGCAAUGGACGAAAGUCUGACGGAGCAACGCCGCGUGAGCGAUGAAGG
rnacentral:rRNA from 1 species